rnacentral:lncRNA from 1 species
CUUACCUCGGUGUCUGUUGCUCCAUGCCCCAACCUGCGGCCCGCUCCCCCUACGUACCAGCCCGGCCUCGGCACUCACCGGAUGUAGCGCUCCCUUUUGGGAUCAACGAGCUGUGUGGCGCCUGUGCGGCUUCUGAGAGACCGGCUGGUGGCGCUUGGCGGCUUCCUGCCAAUCCACCCUUCUCCUCCCGCGCAAGGGGGCAAUCCCAAUCCCACCACCGGGAACACCCAGGCCAAAAGAACGGGAGUUACACUCAAAGUCUUCCCCCUUCUUAUCACUCCUGCCGAUUUCCCUCUUCCUUUUUGCACGCCUCCACUCUUCCCCACCGGAAACGCCGCCCCUUCCUCCUACAGUUCCUCCCAGCAGUCCCUCAACGCCUGUCUUCCCUCGCGCGUAGAGAGUGACUCGAAGGACCCCCUCUCCUCUUCGCUGCAGCCCCUCCCCAUGCACGCUGGGAGACUCUUGGAGGGGAUAAGGUGGGGCCCGGAGAGGAAGAGAAGACAAUCGGAUUGGAUAGGCAGCUGCCAUGGCAACUGGAGGCUGUGGUUAUAUUGUCAUAGUAACCGAUGUGUGCGGACAGGGUCACCCUCCCCUUGGCCAAUGGAUUCCCAGGAAACCACCCAGGGUUCCCCGUUGGCUUCCCUUCCAUCUAAAGGCCUCCCCCAAGUUAGGAAUCGAUAUAGUUCUCCCCGGUGGUGAAGUCCACUUCCUCCUCCCUUCCCACUUCCCACAGCAACUGGGGGGACACCCCGAGGCAUUCACCAUGGGCUUUUCCACCCGCCUGCGAGCGGGAACCACCUCCGUAGUUUCCUCUCAGAGCCGGGCGUGGAGAGGGCUGGGCCUGCGAAGAGGAUGCAUGGCCUGGAGGCUGGCGGGCGGCGGGCUGGAGUCGGGAGGGCGAGGCGACAGCGCCAAGCGGCGAGGAAGGGCAAGGGGUUUCCCCACAACUGCCUUGGGCUCUGGGAGGCGGGAUCCCGCCUGGACGGGGUCCCUGAGGGAGGAGAGCGGCACACGACAGCCGCGAUGCCUUCCCUGCCGACGGGGAUAGCCGACUUCUGGCGAGUCGACCCCUCCCCCAAAUCCACCCCACCCGCGUACUCCCUCCUGACCUAGCUGUCGCGAGCCUGCCGCGAGGAGGCCAGGGUGAGGGUGGGAACACAUCCUAGAAGGCUAACACGUGGUUUUCUAUCAUUUAAGCCGGGGACAAGCCGGAAGGCUGACUAGCGCCAUCACUCUGAUAGGCACCCCGCAGUGGGGAUCCUGCUUGAUUAUUAAAGGCAGACCUCCAAGUUCCUCCCUGCUCUGCAACCUUUCUCUUCUCACGGGUCUGCAGUGUUUUAAAAGUCGUCAUUCUGUGUCGUUGAGUUAGAGAGGAAAACAUCGGAUAAAAGAGGAUCAAGAAGAACGAACCCUAGAUACAUCUGUCUGGUGAAAGGAGUCUAGGAAAAGAAGUUUCAUUCUUAGAACAAAUCUUUUUGGAUAUUUAUUAUGUGUGUUUUGUGUCAGGUUUCGGGCCAAAAAGCUGAAAUAAAGAACGAAGUCAAUAAUAAUAUGAAGUGUAUGAGAAAUAGCUGGAAAAUUCAUCAUCCAUGACUUGAAGAAAUUGACGUUUUACAAGUUAUAUUUUCGGUUCGUAUUGUGGAGUCACUUAAGGAGCUAUCCCAAAGUACUUUAGGAUAUGUAACUAUAUAAAACCUUCCAAGAAUGCAGCCCUCAUAGGAUAGUUAAAAUAAGGAUUUUAAUGGGCUAUUUUGAUUUGGUUUGGUCUGGUUUGGCUACCUGAUUCCUGCUGUCUUUUUCUACGCCAGGUGAAGAGGCACUUUCAAGAUCCUUCUCUGAGACCUGCACCAAUAAGACUAUACCAAUGUUCAGUUGAAACAUCAGGUAUAAGUUUAGCGGAAACGAAAGUACAACCUGCUUUGAAAUAAAUUCCAAGGACAGAUUGUCAUUAACGAAAUAGAAAGUGGACUAUGCCCCUCAUGCUGCCAGCGCCUGGUAUGGUGCGGCGUGACACGCAGCGCUUGCGGCAGUACAAUGCCCCCAAUCACCCGCCCCGCCCCGACGCGCCGCCCACUCACGGCAAAGAGAGCCACCUAGUGAGGGAUUAUUCUCAUUUCCGCGGUGGGGUUCUGCUUUUCUUUCUACCAUGAGCGCCCAAGGAUAGACACUCCUACUACCUAUUACCUCAAAUAGCCUACAUUUCUUUCCGAAAAUUUAUUGGUUAGAUAUUUUUCUUUUUUUUUUUUAAUUUAAAGACCAGUGUGAUCGUGUAUUGGUUAGAUUUUUUAAUUGGUUAGAUUUCAACCAGAAUAAAAAUUGUAAUAAUUAGACACUGUUCUGGUUAUGAUGGACACCACAGUGAAAGAGACCUGGUCCCUGCCUUGAGGAAACCCAACUGCUGGUAGAGAGCUCAGAGUAAUGAUUAGGAUGCAAUAUGAGGGAUGCAGUAAUUGGGGCAAUUCCUAUGGCUCUAAUGCAGUAUCAGGCACUAAUACUUAUGUAUGAGCAAAAAUUGAUGAGGAUGAUCAUGUUUUAAUACACCAGUACAGACCAAAAUGCCUCUUUGGUAAUUUUCAGAUCUACUUCUGGGAACCGUCACAGCCUGAGAAAGAUGGCAUGCCCUGAAUGGAAUUCACAGAGAAUUAUUUUAAGUAAAAGAAGUUUAAAGUUGGUCAUGCUACUGGCCCCGCCCAGUUAUGUAACAACUUGCAUUUCCUCAAUUCUCUGGAAUGUGGCCAGUCAGGAACUUCCACAUUUGGUUUUUUUUUUUUCCCCCAUUUGUGGGUAAGAAAGUAAAAGAGGCAGGAAAACUGAAUUGAGAAAGAAGAAAGAAUAGGGGAAGAGAGAAAGAAAAAAGAAAACCAUGAAGCCUGGAAGAGGAGAAAGAAGAGAUAGAUGAGCAAAGAAGCACAUUGCCUGGUGGUAGUAAUAGUUGUCAGACACCCAUCUAUUAUAAUCUGUUUUCCAUGGGAGAUUUUAAGAAGAGGCUAGAUCCCCAGUCUGUCUUAAAAUCAAGAAAAGGGACUCUGUUGCCUCUAAAGUAUACUUCCAGACUCAGCAAUCUCUAAAUUCUGAGUGGGGCAUCCCUAGUUUUGCUGCCUAAAAUCUAUGACAGUUGGAAAUGAUUCCAUUUAAGAUCCAGUUCAAGAAGCUAUACACCCUGAGGAACUUUAUAUUGCCAUUUAGAGGACCGAUAUUCUCCAGAUUGCUUGAGCCCAGGAGUUUGAGACCAGCCUGGGCAACAUGGCAAAACUCCAUCUCUACCAAAAAAAAAAAAAAAACAAAAUUAGCUGGGCAUGGUGGUACACAUCUGUAGAACCAGCUACUCUGGAGGCUGAGCUGAGAGAACCCCUUGAGCCUAGGAGAUGGAGGUUGCUGUGAGCCAAGAUCGUGCCACUGCACUCAAGCCUGGGUGACAGAGCCAGACCCUAUCUCAUAAAUAAAUAAAUGUCAAUAUUCUCCAAA